AGUAUGAAUGGUGGAGCUGCAGAGGACACGUCUGGUGCAGCAAUUAAGAAAAGUUGGUGAGAGGAGACGCACACAGAGAGAGGGGGGGAAAGAAAGAAAGAAAGAAAACGCGCACAUGGCUUUGCGGUGUGUUCAGGAAGAUCUGCAGAGCGAAAAGUCUCAAAGUGAAAGAAAAUGUGUCAGGGCACACAUUGGUGGAGACGCGCGCCUUGCCAAAUGUUGCCUGAGUUUAAAAAAGAAAAAGAAAAGCCGUGCACAGUUUGCGCCUGGCCGCCAGUGACGUGAGUUUUCAGUGAAGACACCCUGAUGAAGAGGAGGAUGAAGACUGACAAACUGGCUGAGGCGCAGGAUUGAGAAACUGCUUCACCACAGGACUAUCAGGCAGGUUUCCACCACAUUCACCCAUCCUGACAGCCGGUGGGGAAACCACCUAAGCGCAGCUCAUCCGUUAAAUUGUCGCUGAGUCAGUUUGGGGUCAUGACAUCAUCAUCAUGAGAUGGGAAGACUGGUGAGCGUUGACCACAGGCAGCAAAAGAAGAGGCGGGUCCUGUGUGUGUGUGUCGGGGUUUGCAGCUGCUGGUUCUUGGCAAAAAAAAAAAAAAUUGUGCUGUGGAGUUGCCUCAGGGAAUAAUUUGCUCAAAUGUUGAAAGGAAGAACAAAUUCAAGAGGUUUAAAGAGGCAGUAAGUAAGAUUUUUAUUGUCGCGCUGCACAAAUGACCAUAAAACACCUGCAGGAGGUUGAUGGUGCUGUUAAUCGUCCAGGUGUUGAGGUUUCUCUGGCUUUCCAAACCGUCCUUCUGGCUUGUGGGCUGUUUUUGAGCAAAAGCUCCACACCCAGUGAAGUCAUGCUGAUGCUGUUGAAACCACAGCUGGUGGUGACCAAACAUGUUAAAAUGACCGAAGAUCUGGAGUCUUAAGCUUCUUUAAAUUUACAGUAACACAAAUUUAUUUAUACAUCAUGCAGAGACGAGCUGAAAGAAAAACCUAUUAGUUGCUGGGGGCUUUCAUUUAUCUCUGUAUACCAUAGCACAUUUUAUUAAAUGUUUGAUUAUUAAUAUUAUUUGUUAUUUACAGACAUACAUAGGCCUCAUGAAAUGGAAAUCUGCUUCAGCAAUGUCAUCAUAAAAAUGAUAACGAAAAAAAUCCCCAUUACGAAAAACUUUCCAAAUAACGACUUUGUACCAAGUUGUUAUUGUGAAACAGUGAGGAAAUAGUACUCAUCUCCAAAUACUGAUAUAUUAUGUCAAAGUAUCACUAAAUAAUGACUGAAUGAAGUAUCUCAAACUAUUGAGUUAUCCUUGCUAAACAGUGCGAAAAUAAUACAUGAUUAAUCUGAGAAUACUGAGAAUCUUUUAAAGUGAGUUAGUGUCCCGUGAUAAUACAAGUUCUAUAGCUCUAUACGUUGUUUCCUCAUGUGCCAAAGCAACAGACUAUUUCAAGAAAGUUUCCUGUUUUAAAGUUUUUUUGUUUGUUUGUUUUGUUUUGUUUUGUUUUAAUUACAUUGAUAAAAACGGGCUUCCAUGAACAUGUAAAUAGACUAACAUUUAUUUAUUUAGUGAUUUAUUACAUUUUUCUGCUGGACUUGUGUGUUGAACUGUUUUUGAAUAAUAUUUUGAGUAAUUAUCACUAAUUGUGAUUACACACACUUACAGAAAAAGUACAUCAUGUAUGUCGAUAAGGACAGUUUGAAAGGUGCUAAAUAAAGACGAAAAUGAAUAAAGAAUAGAGGAUUAUUGCAUCUGCAACACUGUAGCGUACAGCAUUAGUGUUGUAAGCAUCUUUCAAGGUCUAAGUGCUCCGUCAAGUUGAAUAUUUUAAAGCUUAUUUGAAGCUCAUUUAAAUGCAAUUAGGAAUAACACUUUGAGAAAAAGAUUUGAUGUCCAGCCUCAAUGACUGAACAGAUUUGUUCUUCCUCCCUGUGUGUUGCUGUUAAUAUACCUCACUUGUAUUUUAAUAAACAUAACAAUAAAACUUAAUUGAAUAAAACAUUAACUUGUAUGUGAGUUCAGUCCAGCUUGUUUUGGUUUCAAGGUCAUGAAAUUCACUCAUAAGUCUAGUAAGAACAAGUGCAUAACCGCACUACUGCGUCCAUGAGAGAACACAGAUCAGUGAUCAGUUUGUCAUUUAAUUACAACAUACAGUAGUUUAGGGUUGCUAUGAGCCAUGAUUUUUAUUUCAGAUUAAUCUGCCCAAUCUUUUCUUUAUUAAACGUUUCAUCAGUCAAAUGUUUAUUCUUAUAUUGAGAGGAUUUGCAUCACAAAGCUCAACAUGACGUCAUCGGCUGAAAAAAAAACCUCAAAUAAACUCAGAUAGAAUUUACAUGAGAUGGAAAAGCAGCAAUUUAGAAGCUGGAAAAGCAAAUGACAAACUUUUGACACAAACACUAAUUUAAUCAGCUAAAAAUGUUGCAAAUUAUUUUUCUCACUCAGCUCGUUUCAGCUCAAACAUGCAUUGAAUUUAAUCCUCAUAUCUUCCUUGAUGCUCUCAAACAAGCAAAGCAUGUAACAUCUAAACCUGUUUUAACAGCCAUCAGAUUACUUGUAAAUGUAAACGUAAACAUAAACGUCAUAUUGCAUACAUGACUGCUUUUUUUUUUUCCGUAAAUACAGCAUAAAUCAGUUAGUAGUUACAGUUACAAGUUGCAGAAAAACCAACAAGUUAUUUUAUUUAUUUUAUUCAUUAUUAUUCAUUCUCCCCAAACUAAGACCGGACAUCAGGAUUUUGGGGACUACAACAUGGCUGCUCAUGUGUUUUGGCAGGUUUCCUCUUCAGAGCUGUAAACUGGGUCGAUUGGACUGAGUUCAGCAACAAGUGGAGCCAUAAAGACCAAAUCCAGCUGCGGUGGAAACAGAUGAUGCACUUUUAAAAAACAUAAUCUGAUUUGUUUUCAAAUAUUUAUGCAAGUCGAGGAAAUCUGUAUUCUCAGAAUCAGAUAUAUAAUUCAGCAGAGUUUCAGUACAAUCGCCUCGUCUUUAAAAAGCACGUAAGACACAUUUUAUUUGAGGAACGUUUCAUAGUUGAUCAAUAAACUGCUGAUCAUUAAACUUCUGGCUGAAGUGUCGCUGUUGAGUCACACUCUGCCAGAAGUGUUUUAAAACUAUUAACAGGUCAUCUUUUAUGGGUUGAGCGAGUUCCGUGACCUCGGGGCUGUAAACCCACAUUGUUAAAUUUCAAAUUGUGGUUAUCAGUGAGAACAUGCAUCAUUCCAGGAAGAUUUACUUUUUCCCGAACACAUUCGGCCCCUCAGAGGAAUGUUUUUUGUUUUUUGUUUGUUUUUUUUUGUUUGUUUGUCCUUGGAUGAACUGAAUUUUCUGUUUUCAGCCUCAAAGUGACGGCCACAUCAGAGAGAUACAGCUGUUUGUGUAGAAGUCUGAAAUUUGUUUAUCAAUGCUCCGUCUGCACGCACAGCUAAUGGUUUCAGCUGAGGGGGGAGAACGGGCAUGAAAUACCACAUUUUGUCCUUGGCUGGUCACUGAGAGCAUGUCCACACUGAUGCCCGUUUAUAAAUAACUUUUAGAUUUUCUCCCUUAUCCUCUCAAUCAAAAUAAAGCCUCAUUUUCAAGCACUGGAAACUAAACGUGUCCAAAAUCCUGAACUAUGAUUACACAUUUUAUAGCCACGUGUUACGUAUAAGAGACAACACAAAUCACACUGAAAAACCUGUCAUUAAACUUCAUUGCAGGUGAAGUGGACAGUGUGAGGGAGUCAUUUUCCUGAUUUUGUCGGCCUUUGGUCUUCUCCUACACACCUGUCGAUCUUGAGGUGUGCAAAACCUGUACUCUCUGAUUUGAACUAAAAAAUGAAAGUAAGUAAGAUAUUUUCUUCUGUAAUGUAGUGGAGCAGAAGUAUAAAGUAGCAUGAAAUCAAAACGCUCUUGUAUAACCAUGGCAAAAAUACCAACAAAAUUAAAAAUUCAGAUUUGUCACAGAAUAAACAAUCAAGUGAAACACUAAAAUAUUCCAGUAUCCCUAACUAACUAUAUUAAGUGUGUAUAAGACACCUGAGGGGCUCCGUACAGUUACAACUGAGGUACACGGAGCAGGUGAAGCGAGUUUGUGACCUCUUAUGCUGGAGCUUGUUUGUGUUUUUUGUUUUAUUUUAAGAUAUCGCGUUAUCAGAAAAUCUCACAGCAGCUGCCUAAAAAAAAAGAAAAAAAAUGCAGAAAGAAGAUGUCACGAAUGAGAGAAAAAAAAGGCUGAGUGUGUGUGUGUGUGUGUGUGUGUGUGUGUGUGUGUGUGUGUGUGUGUGUGUGUGUGUGUGUGUGUGUGUGCGUGUGAAAGAGAGCGUGUGAACUAGGAAGAGAGGGACAAAGAUCGAACAGGAAGGAGCGUGUGUGAAAGAGCUCUGACAGAGUGAGUCAGGGAGAGAGAGAGAGAGAGA